rnacentral:rRNA from 1 species
UACGUAGGGUGCAAGCGUUAAUCGGAAUUACUGGGCGUAAAGCGUGCGCAGGCGGCUUUGCAAGACAGAUGUGAAAGCCCCGGGCUUAACCUGGGAACUGCGUUUGAAACUGGGAGACUUGAGUGUGGCAGAGGGGGGUGGAAUUCCACGUGUAGCAGUGAAAUGCGUAGAGAUGUGGAGGAACACCGAUGGCGAAGGCAGCCCCCUGGGCUGAGAUUGACGCUCAGGCACGAAAGCGUGGGGAGCAAACAGG